rnacentral:rRNA from 1 species
ACUCCUACGGGAGGCAGCAGUGGGGAAUAUUGCACAAUGGGCGCAAGCCUGAUGCAGCCAUGCCGCGUGUAUGAAGAAGGCCUUCGGGUUGUAAAGUACUUUCAGCAGUGAGGAAGGUGGUAUGUUAAUAGUACAUACUCAUUUGACUGUUAGCUGCAGAAGAAGACACCGCGUAACUCCGUGCCAGCAGCCGCGGUAAUACGGAGGGUGCGAGCGUUAAUCGGAAUUACUGGGCGUAAAGCGCAUGCAGGUGGUUUGUUAAGUCAGAUGUGAAAGCCCGGGGCUCAACCUCGGAAUUGCAUUGAACUUGGAC